AUACGUAGGUGACAAGCGUUAUCCGGAUUUACUGGGCGUAAAGGGCGUGUAGGCGGUCUUGCAAGUCAGAAGUGAAAUUCCUGAGCUCAACUCGGGCGCUGCUUCUGAAACUGCAGGACUUGAGUGCUGGAGGGGAUAGCGGAAUUCCUAGUGGAGCGGUAAAAUGCGCAGAUAUUAGGAAGAACACCGGUGGCGAAGGCGGCGAUCUGGACAGUAACUGACGCUGAGGCGCGAAAGCGUGGGGAGCAAACAGGAUUAGAUCCCCUGGUAGUCCACGCCGUAAACGAUGAAUACUAGGUGUAGGGGGUAUCGACUCCCUCUGUGCCGCAGUUAACACAAUAAGUAUUCCGCCUGGGGAGUACGGCCGCAAGGUUGAAACUUAAAGGAAUUGACGGGG
rnacentral:rRNA from 1 species